rfam:Bradyrhizobium sp. LTSP849 NODE_23, whole genome shotgun sequence.
AAAUGAAGGGUGUCGCCGGCAUCAGUCGCCCCCGCCGACGGCGCCCUUCGGGGGAGCAGCGUAACGUUCGCUUCCCCAGUCUACCUUCCGGUGGAAUUACGCCCCCCUCCGUCGGAAGGCCUAGGGCGGUGAGGUCCCCCCAGCUUCACCGCCCGCCUUU